rnacentral:tRNA from 1 species
UCGCUGGUGGUCCAGUGGCUAAGGCUCUGGGCUUCCAAUGCUGGGGGCCCAGGUUCAAUCUCUGGCCAGUGAA